rnacentral:tRNA from 1 species
GGGGAUUUAGCUUAGUGGGUCUAGUGCCUGUCUCACAAACACAAGGACCCAAGUUCAAUCCCUGGUACCCUCC